rnacentral:rRNA from 1 species
AAUCUGCCUUACACUAAGGGAUAGCCCAGAGAAAUUUGGAUUAACACCUUAUAGUUUAUUUUUAUGGCAUCAUUUAAAUAAUAAAGUUUACSGUGUAAGAUGAGUAUGCGUCCCAUUAGUUUGUUGGUAAGGUAACGGCUUACCAAGACUACGAUGGGUAGGGGCCCUGAGAGGGGGAUCCCCCACACUGGUACUGAGACACGGACCAGACUCCUACGGGAGGCAGCAGUGAGGAAUAUUGGACAAUGGAGGAGACUCUGAUCCAGCCAUGCCGCGUGCAGGAAGACGGUCCUAUGGAUUGUAAACUGCUUUUAUACAGGAAGAAUAAGGACUACGUGUAGUCUGGUGACGGUACUGUAAGAAUAAGGACCGGCUAACUCCGUGCCAGCAGCCGCGGUAAUACGGAGGGUCCGAGCGUUAUCCGGAAUUAUUGGGUUUAAAGGGUCCGUAGGCGGGCUGUUAAGUCAGGGGUGAAAGUUUGCAGCUCAACUGUAGAAUUGCCUUUGAUACUGAUGGUCUUGAAUUAUUGUGAAGUGGUUAGAAUAUGUAGUGUAGCGGUGAAAUGCAUAGAUAUUACAUAGAAUACCGAUUGCGAAGGCAGAUCACUAACAAUUGAUUGACGCUGAUGGACGAAAGCGUGGGUAGCGAACAGGAUUAGAUACCCUGGUAGUCCA